UCGACGUCAAAAUAAAAUAACCUAGACAUUUGUGAUAACAGGCCAGUUAUUGCAGAAUACUGUUCACUGGUGUCUAUUUAUCAUGUACACAAAACCCAAGAAAAAUCAAGAGUGGGGAAAUAUGUUUUUGGGGGUGUCCAAAAAAAGGUCCCAAUGCUUUGUUUUCAGCAAACUACACAAAAACAGUUGUAAGAAGAUAGCACCGUUGCUAUGUAAACAAACAGCUGUCAACUGCCAAGCUCCUGUCAAAGUGGACCAAAUCUGGAUAUGUUUCGAUCUCCAACAUGACGUGUCAUUUGUCACAAUGGUUCAGGAGAAGUGAAACUAAGAGGCAAGGG
rnacentral:lncRNA from 1 species